UACGAAGGGGGCUAGCGUUGCUCGGAAUCACUGGGCGUAAAGCGCACGUAGGCGGCUUCUUAAGUCAGGGGUGAAAUCCUGGAGCUCAACUCCAGAACUGCCUUUGAUACUGAGGAGCUUGAGUCCGGGAGAGGUGAGUGGAACUGCGAGUGUAGAGGUGAAAUUCGUAGAUAUUCGCAAGAACACCAGUGGCGAAGGCGGCUCACUGGCCGGUACUGACGCUGAGGUGCGAAAGCGUGGGGAGCAACAG
rnacentral:rRNA from 1 species